GCAAGCGGCUGUGGAGUGUAUAGAAGUGAGAAUGCCGGAAUGAGUAGCGCGAAUGCAGUGAGAAUCUGCAUGGCCGAAAGCCUCAGGUUUCUGGAGGAAGGUUCGUCCGCUCCAGGUUAGUCGGGAGCUAAGGUGAGGCCUAACGGCGUAGCCGAUGCACAGACGGUAGAGAUUCCGUCACCACCAAAAGAGUUAAACACAGGGACACAUUUGAAGUCUCGGAGCCGGGUGUUGGUUCCGGUAGCGAUCGAGGGAAAUUAGUACCGAAGUCCGGGAUGGAAGAUGGCGAGAAAAGCUGUGUGUAUUUCUGCGGUGCCCGUACCGCAAACCGACACAGGUAGGUAGGAAGAAGAUUCUAAGGCCAACGGGGGAAGGGUUGUUAAGGAACUCGGCAAAUUGACCCCGUAACUUCGGGAGAAGGGGUGCUCUAGAGAUAGAGCCGCAGAGAAUCGGCCCAAGCAACUGUUUACCAAAAACACAGGUUUGUGCUAAAUCGAAAGAUGACGUAUACGAGCUGACGCCUGCCCGGUGCUGGAAGGUUAAGAGGAGAUGUGCAAGCAUUGAAUCGAAGCCCCAGUGAACGGCGGCCGUAACGAUAACGGUCCUAAGGUAGCGAAAUUCCUUGUCAGGUAAGUUCUGACCCGCAUGAAAGGCGUAAUGAUUUGGGCACUGUCUCGACAGCCCGCCCGGCGAAAUUGUAGUACCGGUGAAGAUGCCGGUUACCCGCGACAAGACGGAAAGACCCCAUGGAGCUUUACUGUAGCCUAAUAUUGGGUUUCGAUGUUGCAUGCACAGGAUAGAUGGGACACUGGGAAGCAAGUGCUUUGGCAUUUGUGGAGUGGCCGUUGGGAUACCAUCCUUGCGAUAUUGGAAUUCUAACCUGCGCCUUUGAAUCAAGGCGGGGGACAUUGUUAGGUGGGCAGUUUGACUGGGGCGGUCGCCUCCUAAAGAGUAACGGAGGCGUUCAAAGGUUCGCUCAGCUUGAACGGAAAUCAAGCAAAAGAGUGCAAACGCAGAAGCGAGCCUAACUGCGAGACUGACGGGUCGAGCAGUAACGAAAGUUGGAGUUAGUGAUCCGGUGGUAUGUGAGUGGAAAUGCCAUCGCUCAACGGAUAAAAGUUACCCUGGGGAUAACAGGCUGAUCUCCCCCAAGAGUCCACAUCGACGGGGAGGUUUGGCACCUCGAUGUCGGCUCAUCGCAUCCUGGGGCUGUAUUCGGUCCCAAGGGUUUGGCUGUUCGCCAAUUAAAGCGGUACGCGAGCUGGGUUCAGAACGUCGUGAGACAGUUCGGUCCCUAUCUGUCGUGGGCGCAGGAUAUUUGAUGGGAGCUGUUCCUAGUACGAGAGGACCGGAGCGGACGUGCCUCUGGCGCACCAGUUGUUCUGCCAAGGGCAUAGCUGGGCAACUAUGUACGGAUCGGAUAAACGCUGAAAGCAUCUAAGCGUGAAGCCGACCCAAAGAUAAGAUAUCCCAUUGUUUCAAACAAGUAAGACCCCUUGAAGACUACAAGGUUGAUAGGCACGAUGUGUAAGUGGAGUGAUCCAUUCAGCAAGCGAGUACUAAUAGGUCGAGGGCUUGACCU
rnacentral:rRNA from 1 species